rnacentral:rRNA from 1 species
AGAGUUUGAUCCUGGCUCAGAGCGANCGCUGGCGGCAGGCUUAACACAUGCAAGUCGAGCGGGCCCUUCGGUGUCAGCGGCGGACGGGUGAGUAACGCGUGGGAACGUGCCCUCUGGUUCGGAAUAACUCAGGGAAACUUGAGCUAAUACCGGAUACGCCCUUUUGGGGAAAGGCUUGCUGCCGGAGGAUCGGCCCGCGUCUGAUUAGCUAGUUGGUGAGGUAACGGCUCACCAAGGCGACGAUCAGUAGCUGGUCUGAGAGGAUGAUCAGCCACACUGGGACUGAGACACGGCCCAGACUNUCUACGGGAGGCAGCAGUGGGGAAUAUUGGACAAUGGCGCAAGCCUGAUCCAUCCAUGCCGCGUGAGUGAUGAAGGCCUUAGGGUUGUAAAGCUCUUUUAUCCGGGACGAUAAA